rnacentral:rRNA from 3 species
AAAAAGUGCCUUAAAAACUAC